UCGUUAGCUCAGUUGGUAGAGCAGUUGGCUUUUAACCAAUUGGUCGCUGGUUCGAGUCCAGCACGA
rnacentral:tRNA from 1 species